rnacentral:tRNA from 1 species
GCCGGGAUGGCAGAGUGGAUAACGCGCGGGCCUUGAGAGCCCGUGGACCUUCAGGUCCGCAUGGGUUCGAAUCCCAUUCCCGGCGCCA